AUAUGGAUCACCUGGGGAUCUUGUUAAAUGCAGAUCCUGAUUCAGCAGCCUGAGGCAGAGCCGAAGAGUCUGCAUGUCUAACAAGCUUCCAGGUGACGCGGAU
rnacentral:pre_miRNA from 1 species